rnacentral:lncRNA from 1 species
UAAUAGGGUUCACGGCGUGUGAACCUAUACUUUGGUUAAUUCAUCGAUACUGCAUUCUGAUCAAAUGUGGUACUGUGAUGAUAAUCUUUAUGGGAGGAAGGAGACGUCCUUCCGUUAUGACCAUAUUGUCAUCAUGGAACUUUCGUUCUGAUGGAUUUUCUCUGUAUGGGUGAGCCUUUCUAAGUUUUAUCUUUUAAACGGCAUUGCCUUGUCUCCUAAGAUGGAUAAGUCCUUCUUGUGAUGCACCGUUAGCUUGUGAUGCACCGUUAGGGUGCACACUCAUGUGAAGGGUUUGGAACACCUCAAACCUGGAUGGAUGCAAGCAUCACCCUUUGGUAAGGUGGUGUUUUCAUUUGUGCGUUACUUGAAGGUCUGUCGGAAAUUCUCAUGCUCUAGCACUUUGUUUGCGUUAAAAGGGGUGAGUUUUAUUUGAAGUUAAGAAAGAAAAGGAAUAAACAAUUCUGGUCACAAUACUAUUACCGUGACACCUUCUUUUCUUCUUUUAGAAUUCACCUCCUUUUAGUGCAAUCCUAGUGUUCGGGGUGAGGGUUAAAGACUAGAUCCACGGAGCACUGUGCUCCUAGGGAAUUCUAGAAAUUAACUACUUCUAGAACGGAACACAUAAGACUAUGUAUACAAUACAAGGAAAGGAAAAAGGUCUCUUAGGGGUACCACAAAGAAAAGAAUCAAAAUAGCUAAAAAGAGUCUGCUUCCUUUAUCAUAUAUAUGAGAUAGUAGAUCACCUUUUUUUUUUGAAGCAAAAAAAAAGGUGAUCUACUGUUGUAGUCUUCUUGACAUAUCAAGUCAAGAGGGCGAGGCUCCUAGCAAUGGGGGGAAAGGGGAGUGGGUAAGCGGGCUCCUUUCACUUGACUGGUUAGUUAGGAGUGAUCUUUUUUCUACGAUGUUCGAGAUCUUUGUCUCGCAGAGGGUGAAAUGAGAUCUUCUUGGAACAAGGUCAGAGGCGUUGGACGGACCAGUUUCUUCUGAUUCCAAUGAUAGAUGGAUGGUCAGGUCGGUAACAUAUGGAUGGAGGACUUCUACAGGGUCUUCUCGUGCGCUCGACUAGCAAGGUGGUUUUGUAGGCGAACGAAAUAAGUUUUUGGAGGCGAGCGGAGUGAGGCAAUGAAAUUGUUUAGGCGAAAGAAAGGAGAGAACGAGUGGAGUUUCGAGAAUGAGAAUCAUAUAUUUUCUCAUUUCUUUUUCGUAGUAAGAAGACACUAAGACGCACCCACUACACACCACACACUCAGACGACUAGCGUGGUCCUUCCCCCAUCGAAGAGCCACGUAUCCAGGGUUGACCACAUCAUCACUGUUUUAUCAAGGUGUGGCCACGGUCUCAAUUGGGUCAUUGUUUAGUAUGCCCAAGCUUGACAAUAGCUGUGGAUAUUUUGAGUCCCUCAGAACGCAACUCCCUUAUGAGUUGGAAGCCAAGACAAAUGGAUUCCACUUCAUAGGUACCGUUCACCUCACGUGAAGGCUCGCUCAGAACACGUACCAAGCUUUUAUUAGAAAGGAACAGAACAAAGAGGAGUGCUCCACUCCGAAAGAGAAGGAACGGAAAGAGCAGGCGGCAGAGAAAGAGACAAGGAGGAAGAAGGGGGCACUACGGGAAGAGCAUCCAAGACGCGCUAAGGCAAAGGCAUAGAGCUCAAACACAGGCUUAGUAAGCACAGAUUCCCUAGAAAGAAAGAUAAUUCUAGAAAUUAACUACUUCUAGAACGGAACACAUAAGACUAUGUAUACAAUACAAGGAAAGGAAAAAGGUCUCUUAGGGGUACCACAAAGAAAAGAAUCAAAAUAGCUAAAAAGAGUCUGCUUCCUUUAUCAUAUAUAUGAGAUAGUAGAUCACCUUUUUUUUUUGAAGCAAAAAAAAAGGUGAUCUACUGUUGUAGUCUUCUUGACAUAUCAAGUCAAGAGGGCGAGGCUCCUAGCAAUGGGGGGAAAGGGGAGUGGGUAAGCGGGCUCCUUUCACUUGACUGGUUAGUUAGGAGUGAUCUUUUUUCUACGAUGUUCGAGAUCUUUGUCUCGCAGAGGGUGAAAUGAGAUCUUCUUGGAACAAGGUCAGAGGCGUUGGACGGACCAGUUUCUUCUGAUUCCAAUGAUAGAUGGAUGGUCAGGUCGGUAACAUAUGGAUGGAGGACUUCUACAGGGUCUUCUCGUGCGCUCGACUAGCAAGGUGGUUUUGUAGGCGAACGAAAUAAGUUUUUGGAGGCGAGCGGAGUGAGGCAAUGAAAUUGUUUAGGCGAAAGAAAGGAGAGAACGAGUGGAGUUUCGAGAAUGAGAAUCAUAUAUUUUCUCAUUUCUUUUUCGUAGUAAGAAGACACUAAGACGCACCCACUACACACCACACACUAAGACGACUAGCGUGGUCCUUCCCCCAUCGAAGAGCCACAUAUCCAGGGUUGACCACAUCAUCACUGUUUUAUCAAGGUGUGUCCACGGUCUCAAUUGGGUCAUUGUUUAGUAUGCCCAAGCUUGACAAUAGCUGUGGAUAUUUUGAGUCCCUCAGAACGCAACUCCCUUAUGAGUUGGAAGCCAAGACAAAUGGAUUCCACUUCAUAGGAACCAUUCACCUCACGUGAAGGCUCACUCAGAACAUGUACCAAGCUUUUAUUAGAAAGGAAUAGAACAAAGAGUAGUGCUCCACUCCAAAAGAGAAGGAACGAAAAGAGCAGGCAGCAGAGAAAGAGACAAGGAGGAAGAAGGGGGCACUAUGGAAAGAGCAUCCAAGACGCGCUAAGGCAAAGGCAUAGAGCUCAAACACAGGCUUAGUAAGCACAGAUUCCCUAGAAAGAAAGAUUUCCUCUCUUAAAGAUGCUUUCUUCCUGUAAUAGAAGUCAAACUCAACAGCUGACGCAACUACUUAUGCACUUCCAGUCCACCCAGACCGGUAGUAGCAGCAAGCCUACUUCUUAUUGCACUUGAAGGAGGAAUAAGACCAAAAAGAAGGAGAACUAACGACGGGAAGAGAAGAUAGUUAGUUUCUAAAGGCUGGACCAAUCAAACCAUAUCGUAUCGAACCAUAGCGGGAGCGAGGAGCACAUAUUCUUUAUUACUGACUUUUCAUGGUUGAUCGCACCAAAAGGAGUCGGUGCUUGUGAGUAGGAGAAUAUUCUUUAUUGCAAGAUGUUCGUCCACCCGCCGCCUUCGGUCAACUCAAACAAGAGGCCAGGAAGGACAUUGUUAAAGGCUCACUGAGUGCUUCUAGGUUAAAGGGAAGCACUAGACUCACUCCACGGGAACUCACUUUUCGGUUUGCUUCAGAUUUGGCAUUCAUUCCCCCUCCCCUUCCUGGAUUUCGCCUUAUUGUCUGCUAUGCUAGCCUAUGAUGGAUGAAGGCCAUUCAUUUUGGCUCUGUAGGGCUACCCACCCUAUGGUAUGGGGUGUUAUCUCAAGGGCCUGGUUAGGCUCUUCUUGUUGGAGUAUCCUCACUUAGAGGCUAAAAUUCAUUCUCUCUUUUCUUUUGGGAGUGCAUGAAGAGACCUGCUUACUGGAAGGUACCAUUCACAAAGAAUGGUGAAAAGGUUACCUACCCUAUGAUCCUCCUUAUCUUACAGAGGUUUACUACGAGCCAUACCCAGCGGGAUACAUAUUGCCCAAAUGGAACCUAAAAGAUGGGAUGGGUGAUCCA